AUUUAAAGCAAGUGGAAACCUUUAAAAGAACGAACAACUAAACUAAGAAGUAUGUGCACAUCAUAGGAUAUUGACGUCAAUGGAAACAAAAUGUUUGUACUAGUUGAUCGCAGGAAUAUUGAUGAAAAAGUUAAAAGACAUUCAGUGAUAGGGAUGAAGUGGAGGCCUUAUCGAUAAACAAAGAGUCCCCAGUUCAGGAAAUGGUACAGCGCUGAGAGUAUUUUGAAAGUUAAGAAAGGUGAAAUGUAUAAAGUGAGAUUUCAUGAAGAUGGUUCCUAGUAAGUCCGGAAUAUGGCUCGUAUUCGAAGAAAAAAUGUGAUUGUUUGUAAAAGCAGUUUACAUGAAAUAUAGUUUGAGCUUUUAAUCAAAAUGUUGUUCUUUCUUUAUAUUCAACGGAUGUUUUUUGUAGUGCAAGUUAGCAUAACCUUAAAAAGAGAUGCAGGCAAACCUGUGUUAAAGACCACCUCUGAACAGAGGCCACCUGACUCUAAAGACUACAUGUUUUGUUUCCAGUUUUAACAUUUAUUUAGCCUCUGACUACCUCCAAAU